AACGAACGCUGGCGGCAUGCCUAACACAUGCAAGUCGAACGAGACCUUCGGGUCUAGUGGCGCACGGGUGCGUAACGCGUGGGAACCUGCCUUUAGGUUCGGAAUAACUCAGAGAAAUUUGAGCUAAUACCGGAUGAUGUCUUCGGACCAAGAUUUAUCGCCUUUAGAUGGGCCCGCGUAAGAUUAGCUAGUUGGUGGGGUAAAGGCCUACCAAGGCGACGAUCUUUAGCUGGUCUGAGAGGAUGAUCAGCCACACUGGGACUGAGACACGGCCCAGACUCCUACGGGAGGCAGCAGUGGGGAAUAUUGGACAAUGGGCGAAAGCCUGAUCCAGCAAUGCCGCGUGAGUGAUGAAGGCCUUAGGGUUGUAAAGCUCUUUUACCCGAGAUGAUAAUGACAGUAUCGGGAGAAUAAGCUCCGGCUAACUCCGUG
rnacentral:rRNA from 1 species